rnacentral:tRNA from 1 species
GGGGUUGUGGCUCAGUGGUAGAGUGCUCACCUAGCACAUGUGAGGCACUGGGUUCAAACCUCACCACCACA